rnacentral:lncRNA from 1 species
ACGGUGCCUACGCAGGGGACACUGCCCCAGCCCUGUAGCUGAGGCUUCAGUGGGUGCUCACGCCGUCUGCCUUCAUUCCGCAGCCACGAGGCCGACGCCGCGUUGCGUACGGAGUCGGAUGGGACCUGGCGCGCUGCGGACUCGGAGACCCGCGGACCCGCUGCCUGUGAGCUGGCCGAGACCUUCGGAGGACGCUUCCUGGAGGAGGCCGGAACACGGAGGAGGGAGUGGGAACAGCUUUCAGGAGCCAGGACAUGAUGACAGUGGCCACUUCAUGCCAGGGUGUCCCAGCCUGGCCCGCUUCUCUGCUGCUCGGUUUUUAUGGUUGUGUGUGACAGCAGGAUCUCUAAGUUCCCAGCCUUAGACUGAAUGUGGAAGCUGCAAAAAUAAUUUGGUAGAAGCAAAAGGCUUUUGAACUUUGAAGUCAAACAGCUCAGAAAACACUUCGUGAAGACACUCUGCAGACUGCACUGUCAACUGUAUGUAACAAUAAGCACACGCGGCUCAUUGAUAUGUCAUUUUCUUUCAUACUUAAUAGUAAAGUUAUGUUGCCAAUGUAUUCUUUUAAAAUAAAUUUCUUUAUGAUUUCUUACCCAUGAA